GCCCUGAGAAGCUUAAUUCUAAGCAUCGGUCUUGUAAACCGAAAAUAAGAUAAACACCUCCAAGGCU
rnacentral:tRNA from 1 species